rnacentral:rRNA from 1 species
AUUGCCCCAGUAACGGCGAGUGAAGCGGCAACAGCUCAAAUUUGAAAUCUGGCUCUCGGGCCCGAGUUGUAAUUUGUAGAGGAUGCUUUUGGUGAGGUGCCUUCCGAGUUCCCUGGAACGGGACGCCAUAGAGGGUGAGAGCCCCGUCUGGUUGGACGCCGAACCUCUGUAAAGCUCCUUCGACGAGUCGAGUAGUUUGGGAAUGCUGCUCUAAAUGGGAGGUAUAUGUCUUCUAAAGCUAAAUACCGGCCAGAGACCGAUAGCGCACAAGUAGAGUGAUCGAAAGAUGAAAAGAACUUUGAAAAGAGAGUUAAACAGUACGUGAAAUUGUUGAAAGGGAAGCGCUUGUGACCAGACUUGGGCUUGGUUGAUCAUCCGGGGUUCUCCCCGGUGCACUCUUCCGGCCCAGGCCAGCAUCAGUUCGCCCUGGGGGACAAAGGCAUCGGGAACGUGGCUCUCUCCGGGGAGUGUUAUAGCCCGUUGCGUAAUACCCUGCGGCGGACUGAGGUUCGCGCAUUCGCAAGGAU